CCUACGGGAGGCAGCAGUGGGGAAUAUUGGACAAUGGGGGGAACCCUGAUCCAGCCAUGCCGCGUGUGUGAAGAAGGCCCUCGGGUUGUAAAGCACUUUCAGUGAUGAAGAACGCCUGGUGGUUAAUACCCAUCAGGAAAGACAGCACUCACAGAAGAAGCACCGGCUAACUCCGUGCCAGCAGCCGCGGUAAUACGGAGGGUGCGAGCGUUAAUCGGAAUUACUGGGCGUAAAGCGCGCGUAGGUGGCUUGAUAAGCCGGUUGUGAAAGCCCCGGGCUCAACCUGGGAACGGCAUCCGGAACUGUCAAGCUAGAGUGCAGGAGAGGAAGGUAGAAUUCCCGGUGUAGCGGUGAAAUGCGUAGAGAUCGGGAGGAAUACCAGUGGCGAAGGCGGCUUUCUGGACUGACUCUGACACUGAGAUGCGAAAGCGUGGGUAGCAAACAGGAUUAGAUACCCUGGUAGUC
rnacentral:rRNA from 1 species